UACGUAGGGGGCAAGCGUUGUCCGGGAUCAUUGGGCGUAAAGAGCGUGUAGGCGGCCCGGUAAGUCCGCUGUAAAAGUCAAAGGCUCAACCUUUGAAUGUCAGUGGAUACUGCCGGGCUAGAGUCCGGAAGAGGCGAGUGGAACUCCUGGUGUAGCGGUGGAAUGCGCAGAUAUCAGGAAGAACACCAACGGCGAAGGCAGCUCGCUGGGACGGUACUGACGCUGAGACGCGAAAGCGUGGGGAGCGAACAGG
rnacentral:rRNA from 1 species